CCUACGGGAGGCAGCAGUGAGGAAUAUUGGUCAAUGGACGAGAGUCUGAACCAGCCAAGUAGCGUGAAGGAUGACUGCCCUAUGGGUUGUAAACUUCUUUUAUAUGGGAAUAAAAUGUUCCACGUGUGGGGUUUUGUAUGUACCAUAUGAAUAAGGAUCGGCUAACUCCGUGCCAGCAGCCGCGGUAAUACGGAGGAUCCGAGCGUUAUCCGGAUUUAUUGGGUUUAAAGGGAGCGUAGAUGGGUUUUUAAGUCAGUUGUGAAAGUUUGCGGCUCAACCGUAAAAUUGCAAUUGAUACUGGCAGUCUUGAGUACAGUUGAGGUAGGCGGAAUGCGUGGUGUAGCGGUGAAAUGCUUAGAUAUCACGAAGAACCCCGAUUGCGAAGGCAGCUUACUAAGCUGUGACUGACAUUGAUGCUCGAAAGUGUGGGUAUCAAACAGGAUUAGAUACCCCAGUAGUC
rnacentral:rRNA from 1 species